UACGGAGGGUGCAAGCGUUGUCCGGAAUUAUUGGGCGUAAAGCGCGCGCAGGCGGUCUUUUAAGUCUUGUGUUUAAUUCCGGGGCUCAACUCUGGUUCGCAUGGGAAACUGGGAGACUCGAGUGUAGGAGAGGAAAGUGGAAUUCCACGUGUAGCGGUGAAAUGCGUAGAGAUGUGGAGGAACACCAGUGGCGAAGGCGACUUUCUGGCCUAUAACUGACGCUGAGGCGCGAAAGCGUGGGGAGCAAACAGG
rnacentral:misc_RNA from 1 species